rnacentral:rRNA from 1 species
UACGUAGGGCGCAAGCGUUAUCCGGAAUUAUUGGGCGUAAAGGGCUCGUAGGCGGUUUGUCGCGUCGGGAGUGAAAACCUUGGGCUUAACUCAGGGCUUGCUUUCGAUACGGGCAGACUAGAGGUAUGCAGGGGAGAACGGAAUUCCUGGUGUAGCGGUGAAAUGCGCAGAUAUCAGGAGGAACACCGGUGGCGAAGGCGGGUCUCUGGACAGUUCCUGACACUGAGGCACGAAGGCCAGGGGAGCAAACGGG